rnacentral:rRNA from 1 species
CCUACGGGUGGCAGCAGUGAGGAAUAUUGGUCAAUGGACGAGAGUCUGAACCAGCCAAGUAGCGUGAAGGAUGACUGCCCUAUGGGUUGUAAACUUCUUUUAUAAAGGAAUAAAACGAGGCACGCGUGCCUUUUUGCAUGUACUUUAUGAAUAAGGAUCGGCUAACUCCGUGCCAGCAGCCGCGGUAAUACGGAGGAUCCGAGCGUUAUCCGGAUUUAUUGGGUUUAAAGGGAGCGUAGAUGGGAUGUUAAGUCAGUUGUGAAAGUUUGCGGCUCAACCGUAAAAUUGCUAUUGAUACUGGCAGUCUAGAGUGCAGUUGAGGUAGGCGGAAUUCGUGGUGUAGCGGUGAAAUGCUUAGAUAUCACGAAGAACCCCGAUUGCGAAGGCAGCUUACUAGACUGUGACUGACAUUGAUGCUCGAAAGUGUGGGUAUCAAACAGGAUUAGAUACCCCUGUAGUC